rnacentral:misc_RNA from 1 species
UGUGGUAAAUACUUCAGGGUCUGCACACUGAGCAUUACUGAUCCAGGUGAUUCUGACAUCAUCAGGAGCAUGCCCUCAACAGAAGGUGGACAGUAAUGUAAUUCAGCUAAAAUAAAGUCUUUUUAGUUG